UGCGUAACGCGUAUGCAACCUACCUUCUACAGGGGGAUAGCCCAGAGAAAUUUGGAAUAAUACCCCAUACGAUCAUUAAUCGGCAUCGAUUGAUGAAGAAAACUCCGGUGGUAGAAGAUGGGCAUGCGUCCUAUUAGUUAGUUGGUGAGGUAACGGCUCACCAAGACGUCGAUAGGUAGGGGUCCUGAGAGGGAGAUCCCCCACACUGGUACUGAGACACGGACCAGACUCCUACGGGAGGCAGCAGUGAGGAAUAUUGGACAAUGGAGGCAACUCUGAUCCAGCCAUGCCGCGUGCAGGAAGACGGCCCUAUGGGUUGUAAACUGCUUUUAUACAGGAAGAAUUGUACCUACGUGUAGGUAUUUGACGGUACUGUACGAAUAAGGAUCGGCUAACUCCGUGCCAGCAGCCGCGGUAAUACGGAGGAUCCAAGCGUUAUCCGGAAUCAUUGGGUUUAAAGGGUCCGUAGGCGGUCUGAUAAGUCAGAGGUGAAAUCCUGCAGCUCAACUGUAGCAUUGCCUUUGAUACUGUUAGACUUGAGUUAUUGUGAAGUAGUUAGAAUGUGUAGUGUAGCGGUGAAAUG
rnacentral:rRNA from 1 species